rnacentral:rRNA from 1 species
UACGAAGGGUGCUAGCGUUGCUCGGAAUCACUGGGCGUAAAGGGUGCGUAGGCGGGUCUUUAAGUCAGGGGGGAAAUCCUGGAGCUCAACUCCAGAACUGCCUUUGAUACUGAGGAUCUUGAGUAUGGGAGAGGUGAGUGGAACUGCGAGUGUAGAGGUGAAAUUCGUAGAUAUUCGCAAGAACACCAGUGGCGAAGGCGGCUCACUGGCCCAUUACUGACGCUGAGGCACGAAAGCGUGGGGAGCAAACAGG